AUGAACGCUGGCGGCGUGCUUCACACAUGCAAGUCGAACGAAGCACUUUAACCUGAUUCUUCGGAUGAAGGUUUUUGUGACUGAGUGGCGGACGGGUGAGUAACGCGUGGGUAACCUGCCUCAUACAGGGGGAUAACAGUUAGAAAUGACUGCUAAUACCGCAUAAGACCACAGAGCCGCAUGGCUCGGUGGGAAAAACUCCGGUGGUAUGAGAUGGACCCGCGUCUGAUUAGGUAGUUGGUGGGGUAACGGCCUACCAAGCCAACGAUCAGUAGCCGACCUGAGAGGGUGACCGGCCACAUUGGGACUGAGACACGGCCCAAACUCCUACGGGAGGCAGCAGUGGGGAAUAUUGCACAAUGGGGGAAACCCUGAUGCAGCGACGCCGCGUGAGCGAAGAAGUAUUUCGGUAUGUAAAGCUCUAUCAGCAGGGAAGAAAAUGACGGUACCUGACUAAGAAGCACCGGCUAAAUACGUG
rnacentral:rRNA from 1 species